rnacentral:tRNA from 1 species
GAGGAUAUAGUUCAGUGGUAGAAUGCAUGCUUAGCAUGUGCAAGGUCCUGGGUUCAAAUCCUGGUAACUCCA